UACAGAGGGGGCGAAGCGUUAUUCGGAAUUAUUGGGCGUAAAGGGCGCGUAGGCGGCCAUUCAAGUGACGGGUGAAAGCCCUCGGCUUAACCGAGGAACUGCCUGUCAGACUGGAUGGCUUGAGACGGGAGAGGUGAGUGGAAUUCCCAGUGUAGCGGUGAAAUGCGUAGAUAAUUGGGAGGAACACCAGUGGCGAAGGCGGCUCACUGGACCGGAACUGACGCUGAGGCGCG
rnacentral:rRNA from 1 species